GUAACGGGGAAUUAGGGUUCGAUUCCGGAGAGGGAGCCUGAGAAACGGGCUACCACAUCCAAGGAAGGCAAGCAAGGCGCGCAAAUUACCCAAAUCCCGACACGGGGGAGGGUAGUGACGAAUAAAUAACAACACAGGGCUCUUUUGGGUACUUGUUAUUGGAAAUGAGUACGAUUUAAUUCUCCUAACGAGGAACGAAUUGGAGGGGCGAAGUCUGGUGCCAGCAGCCGCGGUAAUUCCAGCUCCAAUAGCGUAUAUUAAAGUUGUUGCAGUUAAAAAGCUCGUAGUUGAAUUUCAGGCCUGGCUGGACGGUCCGCCCUUCGGGUGAGUACUGUCUGUGGUCGGGUCCUACCUUCUGGCGAAGCGUCAUGGCCUUAACCGGCCGUGGCGGGGAACCAGGACUUUUACUGUGAAAAAAUUAGAGUGUUCGAAAGCAGGCAUCGCUUGGAUACGAUUAGCGAUGGAAAUGAAUGGAAAUAGGACGAAUGGUUCUAUUUGUUGGUUUCUAGGACCGUUGUAAUGAUUAAUAGGGAUAGUUGGGGCGAUUAGUAUUCGAAUUGUCGAGAGGUGAAAUUUCUUGGAUUUAUUGAAGACUAACUACUGCGAAAGCGUUUGCCGAGGAUGUUUUCAUUAAUCAAGAACGAAAGUUAGGGGAUCGAAGACGAUCAGAUACC
rnacentral:rRNA from 1 species